UGCCUAGUGGUAGAAAACACACUUCAAAAAGUUAUGGGGGAAUUGAUUACUCUUUAUAUUUAAGAGGAUGAGAUGACAAUUCCAAUUAUCCAUAACUAAAGCCCCUGCAUUAGAAAAAAAGAUCAACACUCCUUUGUGAUGCUUGCAAAUGCAAUGUAUUGGUAUUUACAAUUCAACAUGUAUGCUAGCCUAAAGGAAAGUUAUUGAAUGACCAUGAUGACUAAUCAUCUGAAGAAAAUG